rnacentral:rRNA from 1 species
UACGUAGGGGGCAAGCGUUGUCCGGAUUUAUUGGGCGUAAAGAGCGUGUAGGCGGCCAUGUAGGUCCGUUGUGAAAACUCGAGGCUCAACCUCGAGACGCCGAUGGAAACCAUGUGGCUAGAGUCCGGAAGAGGAGAGUGGAAUUCCUGGUGUAGCGGUGAAAUGCGCAGAUAUCAGGAAGAACACCCGUGGCUAAGGCGGCUCUCUAGUACGGUACUGACACUGAGACGCGAAAGCGUGGGGAGCAAACAGG